rnacentral:rRNA from 1 species
AUUGAACGCUGGCGGCAGGCCUAACACAUGCAAGUCGCGCGAGCGGCGGACGGGUGAGUAAUGUAUGGGGAUCUGCCUGAUGGCGGGGGAUAACUACUGGAAACGGUAGCUAAUACCGCAUACCAUCAGAUGAGCCCAUAUGGGAUUAGCUAGUAGGUAGGGUAACGGCUUACCUAGGCGACGAUCCCUAGCUGGUCUGAGAGGAUGAUCAGCCACACUGGGACUGAGACACGGCCCAGACUCCUACGGGAGGCAGCAGUGGGGAAUAUUGCACAAGGGGCGCAAGCCUGAUGCAGCCAUGCCGCGUGUAUGAAGAAGGCCUUCGGGUUGUAAAGGACUUUCAGCCGGGAGGCGUUACCCACAGAAGAAGCACCGGCUAACUCCGUGCCAGCAGCCGCGGUAAUAC